AGUCGAACAAUGAAGCCCUCCGGGGGGAUUAGUGGCGACGGGUAGUAACACGGGGCAAUCUGCCCUGCACUUUGGGACAAGCCCUGGAAACGGGGUCUAAUACCGGAUACGACCUGCCGAGGCAUCUUGGUGGGUGGAAAGCUCCGGCGGUGCAGGAUGAGCCCGCGGCCUAUCAGCUUGUUGGUGAGGUAACGGCUCACCAAGGCGACGACGGGUAGCCGGCCUGAGAGGGCGACCGGCCACACUGGGACUGAGACACGGCCCAGACUCCUACGGGAGGCAGCAGUGGGGAAUAUUGCACAAUGGGCGCAAGCCUGAUGCAGCGACGCCGCGUGAGGGAUGACGGCCUUCGGGUUGUAAACCUCUUUCAGCAGGGAAGAAGCGCAAGGACGGUACCGCAGAAGAA
rnacentral:rRNA from 1 species